CUUGGGGUAGAAUUGCACCCCCCUGUCACGGAUUAAAACACAGGCGAUGUUGCGCUGUGGAGGGGAAGGUGCAGGAUGGCACAGGGAUUUCGCAGCAGAGGUUCGCCCUGAGAGGAUAUUUUAAUUCCAUCUGGCUGAGACGCCGUGCAGCAGCCAACUUCAGCCUGUCUUCCACAAUCCCUGCACAGUAUCCAGGUAGAAAGAUCCCAAAUUAAUCUUCUUUUUUCUCUUUAUUGUUCUAUCUACCAAAAGAAGUGGCUCCUAUAUUCAGAUACCUUUUGAGCAUCUCUAUUUCUAUAAUGUAGACAGAAAAAAUAGGAUUUAUUAAAGCAGCCUAGUGCUUUCAGUGUGUGUCUGGAUCCGUUGUCUGAGCCAGCCCUACUAACACAGAAAAAAUGAGGUAAGAUUCCUUUGGAAAAUUAUCAACUUCUGGAGUGGCAAAAGUACUUUUUGGUGUGCAUCUGGCUUGUAGAAUGGAUGCCUGAGUUAAAACAGUAGCCUUUUUAUUCAUGACUGCCUAGUGCAAGACUAUAUGUACUGUAUACUCAGCAUAAGUAAACAGUGAAUGCCCAAG
rnacentral:lncRNA from 1 species